rnacentral:rRNA from 1 species
AUGACGGUACCGGAAGAAUAAGCACCGGCUAACUACGUGCCAGCAGCCGCGGUAAUACGUAGGGUGCGAGCGUUAAUCGGAAUUACUGGGCGUAAAGCGUGCGCAGGCGGUCUGUUAAGACCGAUGUGAAAUCCCCGGGCUUAACCUGGGAACUGUAUUGGAGACUGGCAGGCUUUAAGUAUGGCAAAGGGGGUUAAAAUUCCUCGUGGAGAAUUGAAUUGCCAAAAGAUGUGAAGGAAUCCCGAUGGCGAAGGCAGCCCCCUGGGCGAUUACUGACCCUCGGGCCCAAAACCGUGGGGAGCAAACAGGAUUAAAAACCCUGGUAGUCCACGCCCUAAACAAUGUAAACAACUUGUGGGGGAUUCUUUUCCUUAUUGACGUAGCUAACGCAUGAAGUUGACCGCCUGGGGAGUACGGCCGCAAGAUUAAAACUCAUAGGAAUUGACGG